GACGAACGCUGGCGGCGUGCCUAACACAUGCAAGUCGAGCGAGUGAAUCUCCUUCGGGAGUGAAGCUAGCGGCGGACGGGUGAGUAACACGUGGGCAACCUGCCUCAUAGAGGGGAAUAGCCUUCCGAAAGGGAGAUUAAUACCGCAUAAGAUUGUAGCUUCGCAUGAAGUAGCAAUUAAAGGAGCAAUCCGCUAUGAGAUGGGCCCGCGGCGCAUUAGCUAGUUGGUGAGGUAAUGGCUCACCAAGGCGACGAUGCGUAGCCGACCUGAGAGGGUGAUCGGCCACAUUGGGACUGAGACACGGCCCAGACUCCUACGGGAGGCAGCAGUGGGGAAUAUUGCACAAUGGGGGAAACCCUGAUGCAGCAACGCCGCGUGAGUGAUGACGGCCUUCGGGUUGUAAAGCUCUGUCUUCAGGGACGAUAAUGACGGUACCUGAGGAGGAAGCCACGGCUAACUACGUGCCAGCCGCCGCCGUAAGAC
rnacentral:rRNA from 1 species